GGGGAUGUUUUGGGAUUCGACAGGCGUAUAUUUGCGUAAACUGCGAUUCGUAGGUUACGUCUACGUUAAAACGUUGCAAGUUUUUAUAACUGCAAACAAUAAUAAUUCAUACGCAGUAGCUGCCUAGUCAGCCUGUGUUGCUAAUUGCCGGAUUGCUUGCGUUUGGCUCUUAGUAUCAUUACCAGCAAGUUACGUUUAACUAUCUACCUGACUAGUUAAAAAGAGAUUAUUAAGGUUAGUUCAACUUGUUAGCCCUGUUAUAUGGCGUUUUAGUUGGAUGAAGCUUAAAUAAUAUAACUAUGAUCGUAGAGGUUUAUGACAAAGUAUGUUUGGACGCGGGUUCAAUUCCCGCCAUCUCCAUAU
rnacentral:tmRNA from 1 species